GAACUUUGGGAAAGCUAGUUAAUCGCCUACGUUUUCGGGUGAAAUUGGGGACCGUAAGGCCUCAUGUUCAUAAGCGGCCGAUUCUGAUUAGUUAGUUGGGAGGUAAAGGUUCACCAAGGUUCGAUCAGUAGCUGGUUGAGAGGACGCCCAGCCACACUGGGACUGAGACACGGCCCAGAUUCCUACGGGAGGCAGCAGUGGGGAAUUUUGGACAAUGGGGGCAACCCUGAUCCAGCAAUGCCGCGUGAGUGAAGAAGGCCUUCGGGUUGUAAAGCUCUUUUGUCAGGGAAGAAACGGUCUGAUCUAAUACAUUGGGCUAAUGACGGUACCUGAAGAAUAAGCACCGGCUAACUACGUGCCAGCAGCCGCGGUAAUACGUAGGGUGCAAGCGUUAAUCGGAAUUACUGGGCGUAAAGCGUGCGCAGGCGGUUAUGUAAGACAGGUGUGAAAUCCCCGGGCUUAACCUGGGAAUGGCAUUUGUGACUGCAUAGCUAGAGUGUGUCAGAGGGGGGUAGAAUUCCACGUGUAGCAGUGAAAUGCGUAGAGAUGUGGAGGAAUACCGAUGGCGAAGGCAGCCCCCUGGGAUAACACUGACGCUCAUGCACGAAAGCGUGGGGAGCAAACAGGAUUAGAUACCCUGGUAGUCCACGCCCUAAACGAUGUCUACUAGUUGUCGGGUCUUAAUUGACUUGGUAACGCAGCUAACGCGUGAAGUAGACCGCCUGGGGAGUACGGUCGCAAGAUUAAAACUCAAAGGAAUUGACGGGGACCCGCACAAGCGGUGGAUGAUGUGGAUUAAUUCGAUGCAACGCGAAAAACCUUACCUACCCUUGACAUGUA
rnacentral:rRNA from 1 species